AACAAUUUUGUAAUUGUUCUUGAUUUACAAAUGAGAAAAACUGGGGUUGAGAGAAGACUUACACGAGCCUGGGAGGCUUUAAAUCUUGCAAUUCUCAUAACUUUUUUUUGCAUAUUUUUUUGGCACAGAGUAAUCACUUAUCUUAAAAAAUUAAAAAGAAUUUAUAGUUUUAGAUUUUUCAAAUCUUACUUUUAAUACGGGUUCUUAAAUGCUUUAACCUUCCUUCUAUCCCACCACCCACCAGAGGUAGGAGAAAAGAAGAGUUGUUAGGAUAUGGGGGCAGUGGACCUGUUUAGAAACUGUUCUUUGGAGCAAAUCCCAUUUGUGUUAUCAGGAGAUCAGCAGUUCAUUUACAGGAAUCAUCAGUUGCAGCUUGAUCCAUUUGCAAACACUUCACGAACUAUCAAUCGGUAGUGUUGGGAUAGCAAACAUGAAUCAGCAGUGGAAUGACCUAGCAGAGACAUACAGGUCUUAGAUGAGUCAGCAUGAAUCAGCAGGAGGAACCAGGACUACCAGGGACAUCAGGAGAAGUUCUUUGCCUUGCCUCUCUCAAAGAAACAAUGAUCACUGAAGACUGGCGACCAAGAAGCCUUCUUUGCAGAGCUAGCUAUGCAAGCAAGCCCCCCUCACAGUCUGUUGAGUCCUAUUUAUACUCCCUCCAAACAUCACGUGUCCUCCAUGGGUCUUACCUCACCACGUGUCUUGCCUCAGCACGUGCGUCUGUAUCAACUGCCAUCAUUCUGCCAAUUGACUCGAGUCUGCAGAAGUGGCAAAAAGCAUCAGGCACACCACCUUUGAUGUGUCUAUCUCUAUGGAGUCCCUACAAACAAUGACCAAUAAACAAUGGUAAGGCGUACCAAUACCAACCAGCA
rnacentral:lncRNA from 1 species